AUUCAGUAAAGUGCUGCUAAAAGCUGUGACCAAACCACAGAGAGGAGACAGGGAUGCACCAUGCAAGCACAGCUUUGGUGUUUUCACCGCUCCCUCCAUAAAGGUGGCCUGGGCCACUGCUAGAACCACCACAGCCACUUUUGGCUCUUGGGUUCCACUUCUAAACACAUCACAGUAAGCCUCAGGUCUCAAAAGCCUCCUUGGGAACAGCCUGUAGGGCCAUGAGCUCUGCAGCCCCUCGUGCCAUGGGCGGCUCACCAGCACAACACCAUUCCUUGGCCAACAGCAGCAGCAGCUCAGACUUUCCAUGCCUCUGGUACCCACAUUUCAUAUCUGUGUAAUGAGCCCAUCCUGCUUUCCUUUACACAAAAUCUCAGAGGGGCUCUGGAGACGACUGGAGCUACAGCACAGUCAAGGCAAAGUGACCCCAGUUCCUCCUCAUCCUCACUGAGAUGGACUUUCUGAGUGUUUCUCCUGGAACAGUGUCUGCAUUGAUACCUCAGGCCCAAGAGAACAAACAACGUGGAAUGAAGAGAGAAAAACAAGAAGGAUGGGACUGCAUGGGCUGGAGCUGUAAUUGGACAAGAUGCAAAUGGAGCAGAACUUAUAAAAGUGAGAGAUCCCGUGACCAGUUGUCCAUUUUGUGACCAUUUUGGGUUCACCUGGGGUGCAGCCCUGGCUGGGCUCUUGUGCUGCCCAAGGUGGAUCCAUUGAGGCUUCCUAAUAAAUCCCUACUUUAUUCUUUA